AACGAACGCUGGCGGCAGGCCUAACACAUGCAAGUCGAGCGAGGACUUCGGUCCUAGCGGCGGACGGGUGAGUAACGCGUGGGAACGUGCCCUUUGCUACGGAAUAGCCCUGGGAAACUGGGAGUAAUACCGUAUGUGCCCUUUGGGGGAAAGAUUUAUCGGCAAAGGAUCGGCCCGCGUUGGAUUAGGUAGUUGGUGGGGUAAUGGCCUACCAAGCCGACGAUCCAUAGCUGGUUUGAGAGGAUGAUCAGCCACACUGGGACUGAGACACGGCCCAGACUCCUACGGGAGGCAGCAGUGGGGAAUCUUAGACAAUGGGGGAAACCCUGAUCUAGCCAUGCCGCGUGAGCGAUGAAGGCCUUAGGGUUGUAAAGCUCUUUCAGUGGGGAAGAUAAUGACGGUACCCACAGAAGAAGCCCCGGCUAACUCCGUGCCAGCCGCCGCAGUAA
rnacentral:rRNA from 1 species